AGAGUUUGAUCCUGGCUCAGGACGAACGCUGGCGGCGUGCCUAAUACAUGCAAGUCGAGCGGACAGAAGGGAGCUUGCUCCCGGAUGUUAGCGGCGGACGGGUGAGUAACACGUGGGUAACCUGCCUGUAAGACUGGGAUAACUCCGGGAAACCGGAGCUAAUACCGGAUAGUUCCUUGAACCGCAUGGUUCAAGGAUGAAAGACGGUUUCGGCUGUCACUUACAGAUGGACCCGCGGCGCAUUAGCUAGUUGGUGGGGUAAUGGCUCACCAAGGCGACGAUGCGUAGCCGACCUGAGAGGGUGAUCGGCCACACUGGGACUGAGACACGGCCCAGACUCCUACGGGAGGCAGCAGUAGGGAAUCUUCCGCAAUGGACGAAAGUCUGACGGAGCAACGCCGCGUGAGUGAUGAAGGUUUUCGGAUCGUAAAGCUCUGUUGUUAGGGAAGAACAAGUGCGAGAGUAACUGCUCGCACCUUGACGGUACCUAACCAGAAAGCCACGGCUAACUACGUGCCAGCAGCCGCGGUAAUACGUAGGUGGCAAGCGUUGUCCGGAAUUAUUGGGCGUAAAGGGCUCGCAGGCGGUUUCUUAAGUCUGAUGUGAAAGCCCCCGGCUCAACCGGGGAGGGUCAUUGGAAACUGGGAAACUUGAGUGCAGAAGAGGAGAGUGGAAUUCCACGUGUAGCGGUGAAAUGCGUAGAGAUGUGGAGGAACACCAGUGGCGAAGGCGACUCUCUGGCCUGUAACUGACGCUGAGGAGCGAAAGCGUGGGGAGCGAACAGGAUUAGAUACCCUGGUAGUCCACGCCGUAAACGAUGAGUGCUAAGUGUUAGGGGGUUUCCGCCCCUUAGUGCUGCAGCUAACGCAUUAAGCACUCCGCCUGGGGAGUACGGUCGCAAGACUGAAACUCAAAGGAAUUGACGGGGGCCCGCACAAGCGGUGGAGCAUGUGGUUUAAUUCGAAGCAACGCGAAGAACCUUACCAGGUCUUGACAUCCUCUGACAACCCUAGAGAUAGGGCUUUCCCUUCGGGGACAGAGUGACAGGUGGUGCAUGGUUGUCGUCAGCUCGUGUCGUGAGAUGUUGGGUUAAGUCCCGCAACGAGCGCAACCCUUGAUCUUAGUUGCCAGCAUUCAGUUGGGCACUCUAAGGUGACUGCCGGUGACAAACCGGAGGAAGGUGGGGAUGACGUCAAAUCAUCAUGCCCCUUAUGACCUGGGCUACACACGUGCUACAAUGGACAGAACAAAGGGCUGCAAGACCGCAAGGUUUAGCCAAUCCCAUAAAUCUGUUCUCAGUUCGGAUCGCAGUCUGCAACUCGACUGCGUGAAGCUGGAAUCGCUAGUAAUCGCGGAUCAGCAUGCCGCGGUGAAUACGUUCCCGGGCCUUGUACACACCGCCCGUCACGCCACGAGAGUUUGCAACACCCGAAGUCGGUGAGGUAACCUUUAUGGAGCCAGCCGCCGAAGGUGGGGCAGAUGAUUGGGGUGAAGUCGUAACAAGGUAGCC
rnacentral:rRNA from 1 species